UACGUAGGCAGCGAGCGUUGUUCGGAGUUACUGGGCGUAAAGAGUGCGUAGGCGGUUUUCUAAGUUUGGUGUGAAAUCUCCCGGCUUAACUGGGAGGGUGCGCCGAAAACUGGAAGGCUUGAGUAUGGGAGAGGUAAGCGGAAUUCCUGGUGUAGCGGUGAAAUGCGUAGAUAUCAGGAGGAACACCUACGGUGUAGACGGCUUACUGGACCAUAACUGACGCUGAGGCACGAAAGCGUGGGUAGCAAACAGG
rnacentral:rRNA from 1 species